rnacentral:rRNA from 2 species
UUUCCUACGGGACGUCAGCAGUUAUGGGCGCAAAGCGUGACGGGAGCAAAUACCAGCGUGAGGGAAGGAAGAGCUCUUGAGUCGUAAGCCUCGUUUUCUCAGGGAAGAAACACAAUGACGGUACCUGAGGAAUCAGCAUCGGCUAACUCCGUCCAGCAGCCGCGGUAAUACGGAGGAUGCAAGCGUUAUCCGGAAUCAUUGGGCGUAAAGCGUCCGCAGGUGGCUUGUCAAGUUUGCGGUCAAAGCCCGGGGCUCAACCCUGGACAGGCAGUGGAAACUGAAGAGCUAGAGUACGGUAGGGGCAGAGGGAAUUCCCGGUGUAGCGGUGAAAUGCGUAGAGAUCGGGAAGAACACCGGUGGCGAAGGCGCUCUGCUGGACCGCAACUGACACUCAGGGACGAAAGCUAGGGGAGCGAAUGGGAUUAGAUACCCCAGUAGUCCUAGCCGUAAACGAUGGAUACUAGGUGUAGCUCGUAUCGACCCGAGCAGUGCCGUAGCCAACGCGUUAAGUUGCCGCCUGGGAGACCCGCAGGCCA